CCUGAGAAACCAAAAAAAUCGAAUGGGGAGAUUCAUNGUCAGCAUAUUUGGUGUGUAUAUGAGUUAUGAUGCGGGUUACUCUUGAGUAUUGCCUGUACGUGCUUGUGUAUUUGUGCGGGAUUUUGUCGGCGUGCACUUCUCCCUUAGUAGAACGUGGCAACCCGUUGAGUGUUGGUUUAUGGCCCGAGGGAAGGUCUUUAUUGUCUUGAACUUUAAAGACCCUUGGUGUUUCCUGAUCAACUGCUGGGCGGUAUUCANGGGUAUUAAGCCGCUUUNNGNGUCCAUGCCCNUCNCAAGUGAGGCCAAUUUUUGGUAUACGGACUUAGUGCGGUCGCUGGAUUUGGCCAACUGUUGGUUGUACGGUGCUCUGGGACUGGCGGUUACCGGUUAGCAAUGCUCCUGCUUUGGGUACUUUCAGGACCCGUCUUGAAACACGGACCAAGGAGUCUAACAUGUACGGGAGUCAUGGGGAUUUUAUAAAUUAAACCUAAAGGCGUAAUGAAAGUAAAGGUCAGCCUUGCGUUGACUUAGGGAGGAUGAGUUGUGUUAAGAUACAGCUCCGCACUCCCGGGGCGUCUCA
rnacentral:rRNA from 1 species